UCCGAGUUGACCCCGGCAGUCUCCUACGAGUCCCCGGCAUAACCCGCUGGCAACAUAGGACAAGGGUUGCGCUCGUUGCGGGACUUAACCCAACAUCUCACGACACGAGCUGGCGACAGCCAUGCACCACCUGUGUGAGGCCCCGAAGGACACCGUAUCUCUACGGCUUUUCCCCACAUGUCAAGCCUUGGUAAGGUGGGGAUGACGUCGGAGGAAUUCCA
rnacentral:misc_RNA from 1 species